AACGCGAAGAACCUUACCUGGGCUCGAAGCACAGUGGACCGGGGUAGAAAUAUCCCUUUUCGCAAGAACUGCUGUGGAGGUGCUGCAUGGCUGUCGUCAGCUCGUGUCGUGAGAUGUUGGGUUAAGUCCCGCAACGAGCGCAACCCUUAUCGUUAGUUGCCAACAGGUAAUGCUGGGAACUCUAGCGAGACUGCCUGGGUUAACCAGGAGGAAGGUGAGGAUGACGUCAAGUCCGCAUGGCCUUUAUGUCUGGGGCUACACACGUGCUACAAUGGCCGGUACAGAAAGCAGCGAAGCCGCGAGGUGAAGCAAAUCUCCAAAACCGGCCCCAGUUCAGAUUGAAGUCUGCAACUCGACUUCAUGAAGACGGAAUUGCUAGUAAUGGCAGGUCAGCAACACUGCCGUGAAUACGUUCCCGGGCCUUGUACACACCGGAGUA
rnacentral:rRNA from 1 species